UACGGAGGAUGCAAGCGUUAUCCGGAAUUAUUGGGCGUAAAGCGUCCGCAGGUGGUUUAUCAAGUCUGCUGUUAAAUCGCAGGGCUUAACCCUGUAAAGGCAGUGGAAACUGAGAGACUAGAGUACGGUAGGGGUAGCGGGAAUUCCCAGUGUAGCGGUGAAAUGCGUAGAUAUUGGGAAGAACACCAGCGGCGAAGGCGCGCUACUAGGCCGAAACUGACACUCAUGGACGAAAGCUAGGGGAGCGAAAGGG
rnacentral:rRNA from 1 species